UACGGGGGGAGCAAGCGUUGUUCGGAUUUACUGGGCGUAAAGGGCGCGUAGGCGGCCACUGCAAGUCGGUUGUGAAAUCUCCGGGCUUAACCCGGAAAGGUCAAUCGAUACUGCAGGGCUAGAGUGCGGAAGGGGCAACUGGAAUUCUCGGUGUAGCGGUGAAAUGCGUAGAUAUCGAGAGGAACACCUGCGGCGAAGGCGGGUUGCUGGGCCGACACUGACACUGAGGAGCGAAAGCCAGGGGAGCAAACGGG
rnacentral:rRNA from 1 species